GAUGAACGCUGGCGGCGUGCUUAACACAUGCAAGUCGAACGAAGCUGCUAAAAGGAAGUCUUCGGACAGAAUUUUAGUAGACUUAGUGGCGGACGGGUGAGUAACGCGUGGAUAACCUGCCUUAUACAGGGGGAUAACGGAGAGAAAUUUCCGCUAAGACCGCAUAAGACCACAGCACCGCAUGGUGCAGAGGUAAAAUAUUUAUAGGUAUAAGAUGGAUCCGCGUCCGAUUAGCUAGUUGGUGAGGUAGAGGCUCACCAAGGCGACGAUCGGUAGCCGGCCUGAGAGGGUGAACGGCCACAUUGGGACUGAGACACGGCCCAAACUCCUACGGGAGGCAGCAGUGGGGAAUAUUGGACAAUGGGGGAAACCCUGAUCCAGCGACGCCGCGUGAGUGAAGAAGUAUUUCGGUAUGUAAAACUCUAUCAGCAGGGAAGAAAAUGACGGUACCUGACUAAGAAGCCCCGGCUAACUACGUGCCAGCAGCCGCGGUAAUACGUAGGGGGCAAGCGUUAUCCGGAUUUACUGGGUGUAAAGGGAGCGCAGACGGCGAAGCAAGUCUGAAGUGAAAUGCAUGGGCUCAACCCAUGAAUUGCUUUGGAAACUGUUUGGCUUGAGUGUCGGAGGGGUAAGCGGAAUUCCUAGUGUAGCGGUGAAAUGCGUAGAUAUUAGGAGGAACACCGGAGGCGAAGGCGGCUUACUGGACGACAACUGACGUUGAGGCUCGAAGGCGUGGGGAGCAAACAGG
rnacentral:rRNA from 1 species